rnacentral:rRNA from 1 species
GACGAACGCUGGCGGCGUGCCUAAUACAUGCAAGUCGAGCGAACCUCUUCGGAGGUUAGCGGCGGACGGGUGAGUAACACGUGGGCAACCUGCCUGUAAGACUGGGAUAACACCGGGAAACCGGUGCUAAUACCGGAUAAUCCUUUCCUACUCAUGUAGGAAAGCUGAAAGACGGUUUCGGCUGUCACUUACAGAUGGGCCCGCGGCGCAUUAGCUAGUUGGUGAGGUAACGGCUCACCAAGGCGACGAUGCGUAGCCGUCCUGAGAGGGUGAUCGGCCACACUGGGACUGGGACACGGCCCAGACUCCUACGGGAGGCAGCAGUAGGGAAUCUUCCGCAAUGGACGAAAGUCUGACGGAGCAACGCCGCGUGAGCGAUGAAGGUCUUCGGAUUGUAAACUCCUGUCGACCGGGACGAAUGUGCAGCUUGUAAAUAAUGAGUUGUAAUGACGGUACCUGAGUAGAGAGCCACGGCUAACUACGUGCCAGCCGCCGCGGUAAUAC